ensembl:lncRNA MCPH1-DT MCPH1 divergent transcript
GCGCCGCCGUCACCGCGCUCCGCUGAAUCCGCGUUUCCGGGAUUUCUCUGUAGGUGAGGCGGGAGGCUGGAGGGAGCUGAGCCCCCGGGGAGGGGGCCCGAUUCCGCCUCGCCGCGCCUCUGGCUGCUGGGCCGUGGGUUUUUCUCUUCUCCUGGGAGUAAGGAGGACGACGGCCCCUAACCCCUGAAUUAGCCUUCUAUUUCCAUUAGUGACUUAGAAGCUACCCGGCGCCUCAUCUGGGCUCACCUGAGCUGAGGAUCAGGAAGGGGAGGGGGCACAGUCAUUCCCUCGCGGACGCGGCGGGACCCCAGCGGACGGCUUUGUGCGGACUUUCGGCACCGUUAUGCCCCCCUAGCCCGACACCACCUGGGGCUGGCGCGCCACGUUACUGUUCAGGGCCAGACGCACCGCCCUGCCUGCUCCGGGGAGCCGGACCUCCGAUCCCGGGGAUGGGGGACCCCGAGACCUCAGACCCAACGGAGGGGACUCUGAUACCUCAGACCCCACGCGGGGACCCCGAGGCUUCAGACCCCCACAGGGUGACCCCGAGAUCUCAGACCCCCGCAGGAGUACCUCCAGACCUCAAAUCCCCAGUAAGGGAAUGAAAGAGACUUCGGAUCCCUGAGGCAGCAAAUCCCUGUAGGGGCAUCCCAGGACUCAGGUCACCGCGGGGUGAACCCAGACCUCACAUUCAGGCAAUCCCCAGGACGCCGAUCGGCUGGCACUACCCACUGUCCCGGCCACCCCCCCUGGAGCUCAAAGGCUUGGCCCUCCAGCUGCUCCACCCUGCCGGCAACCAGGCUCAAACCUGCAGCCCGCGGAUCCCCUGCCCCGGAAGCAACCAGAUUCGCGGGAGGUUACCUGACUGAUCCAAGGUGAUACAGCUGGUAACUGAUGGAGAUGUUGGUAGUGAAAUUCAUGUACUUUUAGUUCUUUCUAUGGAAUCUAGAGGUAGAAUACAUGUAAAAGAAUAUCGACUACCGUCUACUCAGGUCUCUGUUUUAUCUGUUUAUUCAUUCACUCUCAGCUUUUAAUAGGAUCCAAUGAGCCCUCUGUGGUUCUGAAGAAUUGCCUUGAGUAUAUGCAGCCUCAAAAAACCCACUUCCUAGGCUCAGUCUUUGAUCAAUAUUUAUCAUUAUCACCAGUUAUUGUUCUAAUAAACUCUACUCUGGAAAUAUGGUGUUAUGGUUUACUUGGGAGUGUGAGUUCAGGGCAUCAUUGAAGACUCACGUACUUUUACUGAGAAAGUGACAUUGAUCUCUGUAGAUUUUGAAUUAAAUGAUAUGAUGAAGUAUAUAAACCAAUUACUUUUGGUCAAGGUGGUAAAAAAAGUUUAGUAUUUGAUAGAUUCUUCAUCUCCACGAUCACAAAUAUUUUCUCCUAGGAUUUCUUCUAGAAAUAUUACUGCUUUAGGUUGUAUAUCAGGUCUAGGUUCUACUUUUUUUUUUUUUUUUCUCCAGGCAGUUUCUCACUCCGUUGCCCAGGCUGGAAUGCAGUGGUGUAAUCACAGCUCACUGCAGCCUCAACCUACUGGACUCAAAGGAUAAGAUCUGCUUUUAAUUAAUUUUUGUAUACGGUAUGGGAUAGGGACCAAAGUUCAUUUUUUUGCAUGUAUACAUAUCCAAAUGUUCCAGCAUCAUUUAUUAAAAAGUUAUUUUUGUCUCUACUGCA